rnacentral:piRNA from 1 species
UAAGUGAUGUCGAGAAAGAGUC